GACGAACGCUGGCGGCGUGCCUAAUACAUGCAAGUCGAACGAGAGCGACCGGUGCUUGCACUGGUCAAUCAAGUGGCGAACGGGUGAGUACCACGUGUGUAACCUGCCCAUCAGAGGGGGAUAACAUCCGGAAACGGAUGCUAAAACCGCAUAGGUCUUCGAACCGCAUGGUUUGAAGAGGAAAACAGGCGCAAGCUUCUGCUGAUGGAUGGACCCGCGGUGCAUUAGCUAGUUGGUGAGGUAACGGCUCACCAAGGCCGUGAUGCAUAGCCGACCUGAGAGGGUGAUCGGCCACAUUGGGACUGAGACACGGCCCAAACUCCUACGGGAGGCAGCAGUAGGGAAUCUUGCGCAAUGGACGCAAGUCUGACGGAGCAACGCCGCGUGAGUGAAGAAGGUUUUCGGAUCGUAAAACUCUGUUGUUAGAGAAGAACAAGUGCUAGAGUAACUGUUAGCGUCUUGACGGUAUCUAACCAGAAAGCCACGGCUAACUACGUG
rnacentral:rRNA from 1 species